UGGAGUGGGAUGUGGGCUGGGCAGGGCAGGGCAGGGCAGGGCAGGGCUGGGCCAUGCCUGCUAGAAAGGGUCUGGAGCCGAGCCCUCAGUGGGCAGAGGCUCUCUCACCAGGGCAUAGAGGUCAUUCCGCAGCAGGGCCCGGUUGUGGUUGAUCUCCCGCUGCAGGAUGAUGAGUAGGAAUAAGAGCCCCAGCAGGAUGUACCCCAGGUUGCUCAGGAUGUUGUUGAAGGCGCUGGAAGGGGCGACACAGGGUGCGUUGCUUUGGCCCCGUUUUCCGGCCUCCUCCCUACCUGGGACGUGCAUUGGCAGAGCCCCUGCCCCCACCCUGGCUGGCUCAAGACCAUCCCCACCUGAGGUUGCCCAGCGGAUGGGCACAGAGGAAGUUGUAGUAGCAGAUGUCCUGAUUCCCUGUGACAUUCACCACCUGCAGCAGGGCAUGGGAGCACGGAGGGGCCGCUAAAGCACCUGACUCAGCCCAGAGCCCAGGUGAGAGGGAGCCAGGCCUGAGCCCAUGCCACACCACCCGGCCCCAUUCGAAGGGACAGGGAAGUGCCACACAACCAGCACGUGUGUGCAUCCGGAGACCAGGCCAGCCCUCUUUCGCACAGUCGCUGUCCCUCCUUAGCAGGUGGGGCUAAAAAUCAUGGGGCGUGACCGUGACACAAUUUCUUGCCCCAUAGUACAGAGAAAAGGGAAGGGAAACCGAGACUUACAAAGUCUCAUGACUCUUGUUGCAUAAACCCUGCAACAAGCUGGGGAAGGUGCCGUCAUUGAGAUCAUGCUGCCCCAUUUUGCAGAUGAAGAAACUGAUGCUCUGGGAGCUUAAGUGACUUGCUCAAGAUCACCCAGCUGGUGAGGCAGAGUUAGGAUCUGGAACCUGAGUCCCGUGACCUGACUCGCUCCAGUGGCCCAGGCUGGGACGCUCUGCACUUCAGGCCACGUCCCAGACUGUGGCGAGGGCAAGCACGCGGCCCCACGAGGGCAUGCCGCCCGGGCCCAGGGAGUCAGCCCUGCCGCUCACCGUCUGGUAGGUGAUCACCAGCUGCACCACGGGAAGCGCGUAGAAGACAGCGAUGGUGGCGAUGUUCCUGAGGAGUGAGACGAGGGGCGGCAGUGAGGAGGCAGGCCAGGCCCCGAGACACCGCCACACCACCUGCCAAUAACAGGAAGGCCUGGCCGUGCCGCCCACUCACCAGAAGUAGAUCUGGUACUUUUUCCGAAGGACGCGUUUAUCCUUGCGUGCCAGGUCGGCCACAUAGAGGUAUUGCUGGGGAGAAGCUGGAGUGAGACCCGGGAGAAGUCCCCCGUGCCCAGGGGAGAGAGGGGGACAGGAGGAGCCCCCUCACACAGGCAGCAGUUCUGCUGGGCGGGGGCUCCAGGCCAUCCCGUUGCUGCUGGCAGAUCAGCCCGGAAGCGCUGGGGGUGAAGUCGGUUUCCCCUGAAUCUAUCCUGCCCCAGCUGAGCUCUUUCCCUUUGUUUCUCUCAGAUGUCACCCCAGAGAGGGAUGCCUGGGUGGCUCAGUCAGUUAAACGUCCAACUUUGGCUUAGGUCAUGAUCUCGCAGCUUGUGGGUUCGAGCCCCUGUGCUGACAGCUCGGAGCCUGGAGCCUGCUUCGGAUUCUGUGUCUCCCUUUCUCUCUGCCCCUCCCCUGCUCGCCCUCUGUCUGUCUCUCAAAACAACAACAACAACAACAACAACAACAACACGUUAAGAUGUCACCCCAGAGGGAGAUGUGCUAGGGCCCAAACACAGAAUCUCCUUUCCUUGGGAAACCCAUGACCCAGGGCCAGGCCGCAUAGCACCAGACCUUGGUGCGAAUGACGUUCUUGUCUGAAUCAAUGUCAGUCAAUGUGUCAUAGUCGUCCUCCUCCACGGAGCUCAUGGAGUCCAGGCGUGGCCGAGCGCCCACAGGGUCAAGGGAGCGAUCUGGGGUGGGCAGGAGGGAAGAGUUACCUGGGAGGCACAGAACCCAAGGUCUGUCCCCACCCACCUGGGGCAAUUGUCACAAUUACUAGGCAAUGGGAAGAGGCAGAUUGUGGACUGAGAGCAGGCAUGGAGGUGGGCUCAGGCCCUGGGAGGAGGGACAGGGUACUCCUAAGUCCUUGAGGGAAACAAGGGUGGGCCACCCUUGAACGGGCCACCAGACAGGUACCGCUCCACCCUUGCUCCCCUCACCGAACUAGGACUUCCAGGCCAGGACACUGAGCAGAUCCUGGGUCCCGGACAGAAGCAGCAGGACUGAAUUCGGCAGAAGUCAUGCUGAUUAGGUGCCCAGCCAUGUGGGUUCUGAGAGGACACUGCCUUGGCCCCCUCUGGAAAAAGACCCAGUGGGUUCUGGGGUGCAGGCAAGGGUGACAGGCUGCUUCUAGGAAGAGCACUUGCUCCUUCAUCCUGACCUUUUCUUGUGCCUUCAGAAGCUUCCUCCUGUGACCUUGCCUGACCAAAGCCCCCGGAGGCCAGGACACAACACCCCUGCCCGUGAGCCCUACCCCGGCAGGCCAGGGAGUGAGGUGCUGGCAAACAUGAGAGCGAACCAGAACAUCUGGCCUGGGGGUAGCUGGGGUGCCAGCCCACCAGCAUCGAGCGCCCGGCAGAAGAGGCACCCGCCCUUCACCACGUCUCACGCUGCCAGCUCCGGCCCCACGCUUCGCGGCUCUGCCCGGCAGGGCUCACUCACCCUGGUAGCUGUAGGAGAGGUCUCCAGUGCCUGAGCUGUCGACCAGCCCAUCGGUGGAUCCGGAACUGUUCUCUGCGGGGAACAGUGAGCGGUGAGGCAGGUGGGAGGAGAUGGGGAGGCGGGGGUCGGAAGGGGCCGGCUGCCAUUGUGCCAUGUUGGAGGUGGAAGCCUAAGGAGGCCUGGCUGUGAGUGGGUGAGCACAGCCUUUGGUGUGGACACGUACCAAAGGAACCGUAGUUAUAACCUUCAUACGGGGAGCUGCCGGGGAAGGCAUCGGCCAGGACCCGGGGGUUACCUGCAAAGAGAGGUCAAGGGCCCCCUUAGCUCUGGAAACAGCCCGAAGCCAAAAGCCAAGAGAGAGAAGGAAGAAUCCAGAGAAGAGAGACACAGAGAGGCCACGGUGGCAGCAGAGAGAACGCAUCUAUCCUGGCAAACACAACUCACUGCCACCACUAACAGCUGCCCCAGCCUCCCAGCUCCUCUGCCCACGGCACCUGGCGCUUACCAAGGAGAGAAGCUGAGAGAGAAGGUCCCAAACAGGAGGGAGGACAGACAGAGAGGGCGAAAUGGAAGAAAAGGAGAGAGAAUGAAAGGUUAGUAACCCCCCAGACUGUGAGCUACAUCAUCUGAGGCAGACAGCAUAGCUAGGCCCAGAGGAAGAACCAAGGGGCAGCCAUGAAGACAGCCAUGUUAGGGUCACAGGUAGGGCACAAUAGCCCAGCCCCAUUUCCAUCUGCAGAGUGUUCUUUCUCAGUCUGGACAUCCAGAAGCCCCCAGCCAGCCCUUCCUCCUCCAGCCCCCGAAGGGAACCGUCCACCAAAACACAAAGCAAACUCGGCCCUCCCUGCCCAGGCCCUCUGGAGGUACCGCUUUCUGGGCAGGCUCGGUCCAUGGCCACCAGAAGCGUCUUCUUCCUCUGCCUGUAGGGACAGAAUCCAGAGGCAAACCAGAGGGGUGGGGCGAGGAUCCCUCCUUUGCUGAGCUGGCCUGCCUUCCACCCUCUCCACCCCAUAACCCUGUCCUCCAUCUGUGAUCUGAAGGUUCCUCCCAGGCUGGGAAACAAUGUGGGGCUUCCCUGCUUGGGAAGAAGGUUGAGGGGAGGGGUUGGUUUCCAGAGCAGAGGCCUCGUGAACCACGAACCCUCAAAGGGUCCUGCCUUCCUAUGCCCCGCAAUGGCGUGGGGCACUAUCCUGGGUUGGCGCACAUCCUGCUCAACCCACCCCAGAACAGGGGGGGACCCAGCAGCCCGCUUUACCUCCAGUUCUCCCAGCAGGCCAGGAGGAUGGUCAGCAGGUAGAAGGAGAGAAAUAUGCCCAGGCAAAAGAGCAUACCACCAACAUAGGCCUCGGCUGUGGGGAGGGAGGCGGGAGGGUGAGCACACCGAAGCCUUCCGACGCUUCCCGCCAUGGCACACAAGGGCCUGGCCCAAGCUCUCCCCGCAUCUCCCCUCAAAUGUAGUGACCCAGAGGGGUGAGCAGUAGGCAGCUUCCCGAAUAUGCCAAACUCUGACACGGUUCCUGCCUUUGCUCAUGUUGCUCUUCCUCAAGAACUCUACCCUGUCUUCAAACACUUUCCUUCCAAAUACAGCUCGAGGACUAUGUCCUCUGGGAAGGCUUCUCUGCCUUGUGUUCCCUGUGACCUGUCCUUUGCCCAUCACAGGCCAUCGGCACCCUGCACAGCAACAGAUUCCUGUCCGCCAAACAGGAGCUCCCUGAGGACUGUAGCCAGAACGCAGCACCGGGCACAUAGAAGGUGCUAGAUAAAUAUUUGCUGAAUAAAGAAUCUGUAAAGAAGAGACAGUUUCUUUCCCCUCCCAUCACAAUCCCUUAUUUUUAUCUUAUACUUAUUUUAUCUUAUAUUUAUACUUACAAAAAUCUAUAUUUUUAUCUCAUACUUAUAUUUUAUCUUAUAUCUUUAUACUUAGAUAUAGCCCAGUUUACAAAGGGCUCCAUUCGAUCACUCAGUAAAUACUUAGUGAGUCUGACUAAGGGGCCUGGUACUUUCCUGCUAAUUUUGUGCUAAACCUCACAACUUGGUGAGACUACAGGACAGAUCUUAUUACCUAUUAGAGAGACAGAGAGACUGAGGCUCAGUGAGAUUACAGGGCUCAUAAGGGGCGGAGAGAGAACCAGAACUCAGUACUUCAAAAGUCAGCCACAGACUCUCAGUAGCACAUCACACCAGGACCUACCUCCUGACCCUCCCCUUGUGAAGACCGCCAAGAAUUCUCCCUCCUCCUACCCCAUCAGUCCGCUGAGUAGGUGAGCAUCACCCUUCCCAUUCAGAGAACACUUCCUCCCCCAGGUCUGAGAGGAAGAGCCACUCAGCCACCCACACUCACACGUGACUGCUCGAGAUACCACCACUGACAGGGUUUUUUGGCGGUGACCUUGAUCAACCGGUUCAUCUGGAAACAAAAUGUCAAACAAGUGGCUGCGUGGAGCUUGGUUAAAGUUUGUGGGCCCAAAUCCCACAUCUCAUCAGCUCCACCAACCAGCCACAGAGGUUCUUCUACCUCCCAGGGAGUGACCCUGCCCUCCCCACCCUGAGCCAGGCCCAGGACACAAAAGGUACCUUCUACAAAGGGGUAGAAAGGCAAGGAACCCCCACAGGCCUGGUCUUCAGUCUUCACCACGACCACCACGUAAAAGCUAUUGCUGGGGAAGUCUUUGCGCUGCAGGAUAAUGACGACGAUGUGAUGAUGAUGUUUUAUCAUCAUCAUCAUCAUCAAAAUAAUCAGUCAUCAAAAUCAAUACAUAUGUGUGUAUGUACACAAAUAUUUUUACUUG